CGGCUGUCACUUACAGAUGGACCCGCGGCGCAUUAGCUAGUUGGUGGGGUAAUGGCUCACCAAGGCGACGAUGCGUAGCCGACCUGAGAGGGUGAUCGGCCACACUGGGACUGAGACACGGCCCAGACUCCUACGGGAGGCAGCAGUAGGGAAUCUUCCGCAAUGGACGAAAGUCUGACGGAGCAACGCCGCGUGAGUGAUGAAGGUUUUCGGAUCGUAAAGCUCUGUUGUUAGGGAAGAACAAGUGCGAGAGUAACUGCUCGCACCUUGACGGUACCUAACCAGAAAGCCACGGCUAACUACGUGCCAGCAGCCGCGGUAAUACGUAGGUGGCAAGCGUUGUCCGGAAUUAUUGGGCGUAAAGGGCUCGCAGGCGGUUUCUUAAGUCUGAUGUGAAAGCCCCCGGCUCAACCGGGGAGGGUCAUUGGAAACUGGGAAACUUGAGUGCAGAAGAGGAGAGUGGAAUUCCACGUGUAGCGGUGAAAUGCGUAGAGAUGUGGAGGAACACCAGUGGCGAAGGCGACUCUCUGGUCUGUAACUGACGCUGAGGAGCGAAAGCG
rnacentral:rRNA from 1 species